GCGNCAGGCUUACACAUGCAAGUNCGAGGGGCAGCACAUGAAGUAGCGAUACGGAUGGUGGCGACCGUUGCACGGGUGAGUAACGCGUAUGCAACCUGCCUUCUACUGGGGGAUAACCCGGCGAAAGCCGGACUAAUACCGCAUAACACAGGGAUACCGCAUGGUAUUAUUUGUUAAAGAUUGAUUGGUGGAAGAUGGGCAUGCGUUCCAUUAGGUAGUUGGCAGGGUAACGGCCUACCAAGCCAUCGAUGGAUAGGGGUUCUGAGAGGAAGGCCCCCCACACUGGUACUGAGACACGGACCAGACUCCUACGGGAGGCAGCAGUGAGGAAUAUUGGUCAAUGGCCGGGAGGCUGAACCAGCCAAGUCGCGUGCAGGACGACGGCCCUAUGGGUUGUAAACUGCUUUUAUACGGGGGUAAAAAGGGGUACGCGUACCCUGUUGCAAGUACCGUAUGAAUAAGCAUCGGCUAACUCCGUGCCAGCAGCCGCGGUAAUACGGAGGAUGCGAGCGUUAUCCGGAUUUAUUGGGUUUAAAGGGUGCGUAGGUGGGUUAGUAAGUCAGUGGUGAAAACUUGUCGCUCAACGACAAGCCUGCCGUUGAAACUGCUAGUCUUGAGUUUGAUUGAGGCAGGCGGAAUGUGUGGUGUAGCGGUGAAAUGCAUAGAUAUCCCGCAGAACUCCGAUUGCGAAGGCAGCUUGCCAAGUCUCGACUGACACUGAAGCACGAAAGCGUGGGGAUCAAACAGGAUUAGAUACCCUGGUAGUCCACGCCGUAAACGAUGAUAACUAGGAGUUAGCGAUACACAGUUAGCUCUACAGCGAAAGCGUUAAGUUAUCCACCUGGGGAGUACGCCGGCAACGGUGAAACUCAAAGGAAUUGACGGGGGCCCGCACAAGCGGAGGAACAUGUGGUUUAAUUCGAUGAUACGCGAGGAACCUUACCCGGGGUUGAAAUAUGCCCGACCGGAGGCGAAAGCCUUUUUCUAGCAAUAGCGGGUAUGUAGGUGCUGCAUGGUUGUCGUCAGCUCGUGCCGUGAGGUGUCGGCUUAAGUGCCAUAACGAGCGCAACCCUUACCGUUAGUUGCCAUCAGGUAAAGCUGGGGACUCUAGCGGGACUGCCGGCGUAAGCUGUGAGGAAGGUUGGGAUGACGUCAAAUCAGCACGGCCCUUACAUCCGGGGCGACACACGUGUUACAAUGGUAGGGACAGCGGGCAGCCACCGGGUGACCGGGCGCCAAUCCACAAACCCUAUCUCAGUUCGGAUCGGAGUCUGCAACUCGACUCCGUGAAGCUGGAUUCGCUAGUAAUCGCGCAUCAGCCAUGGCGCGGUGAAUACGUUCCCGGGCCUUGUACACACCGCCCGUCAAGCCAUGGGAGCCGGGGGCGCCUGAAGUCCGUGACCGUCAAGGAGCGGCCUAGGGCGAAACCUGGAACGGGG
rnacentral:rRNA from 1 species